AAUCUUCUCAUUGAAUAAUUUAACAAGCUUAAGAAAAUAGGCCUUUAGAAUCAAAAUUGGUCUUAAAUUCCAUGGUUAAUGUGGAACCAUGAUAAUAACCAUGGAUGCCACUAUACUUAGAUCCAUACAUCCUAUUUUAUUUGGUUCAAAUACAAAUGCCUUAUCAAGUCAAAAAAAAUAUCUCUUUAAAAUAUCUUUCCUCAUCUUCUACCAAAAAGUCCUAUUAUCCAAUCUUCAACUCAUUUAAUGUCAAAUUAUCUUCAAAUUUAUGCCAUAUUUUCUUUGGAUCUCUCAAAUUUGGUUGCAUAGAAGCCCUUUCAAUUCUUUUCUUACAAUCCAAUGGUAGUAGUAAUGGCAUUGAUUUAAUCUUUCUAGCAAUAGUCUUAUACUUAGUUUCUACCUUCACAUCAUAUCUAUCAAUAUAUUCUUUUAUGUCAUUAUAAAAUUCCUUAGAUUUCAUAUUUAACAUCUUAUCAUCACCUUCAAAAUUCAAAUCUAUUUAUACUUGUAAUUCACCUAAGGUAUCAUCAAAGUUACUUUCUUCAAACAUCCUCGAUAUAUAUUCAUCUUCAUCAAACAUUUCUUCAAUUCAUAUUCUAUAUUUUUGACAUUUUUUUUUUCUACUCUUCUAAAAUUGUUUAUAUUUUUAAAUGAAAUAUAUCCAUUCCCUGAUAAUGUAAUAAUGGCCUCAUCUUUUUUAAUAAGCAAUGUCGUAUAGCAUGAUUUACAAUCUGAAAAUACAUAAGAUAUUUAGCUGCAGUGAAUUUAGUUUUAACUUAUUGACUAAGCUACAAUAAGUAAUUUAUUCCACCUUUAAAUUAUAUAUAAGUUAAAGGUGGAAUAAAUUACUUAUUUUAGCUUUCCUUCCAAAACCUCUUCACUUUAUAUAAAAUGCCCAAAUUGUAGCAAAAUCCUUCAAAACAUAUUUUUCCAGCAAAGAAUUUUUUCUUUUUACACUUUAGAAAUUCAGAUCUUUUGAUCUAAUUUUUCAAUUUCUUUCAAAUUUUUAUGUAACAUAGCUAUUAUUCUUAAUCUUUACUAUAGAAAAAAAUAAAUUAUAAAAUUUCUAUUAAUCUUUUGGCAUCUUAGAAACCCUAACAAGCACUCUAAAUCCUAAUUUACAAGCACUUAAGCACUAUUUUCUUUAUAUCUCAAAAAUCCAAAAUUCAAAUGCUACAAAAUUUAUAUAAAAAGUUUAUUAACAUGAAUAUACACAUUUUUAAAAAUUUUAAGCCAAAUUUUCAUCAAAUUACUUUAGAUAUAGCUCAAAAUACAACCACUAGUGAAUUAAGUCACUUACUACAUUUACAUUUGUAAGCACUAACUUCAACCUCCAAUAUCUCCUUCAUCCUAAUUUAGAAUCCAUUAUACAAUAUAUCAAAAGUAUAGCAAAAAAAGUGCUCUCUCUAAUUCCGGUUGUUGAUUCUUUAUUGUUUUCUAUAUACACGGAUUAUGUCCAAAAGAGUGACAAAAGGUACAAAAUCAACACCUUAACUUUAGGAGCCUAUAUUUCUUUCAUAUAAACUUCAAACCAUACAAAAUUUUUACCAAAACCAUAGUC
rnacentral:lncRNA from 1 species